AUUGAGAUGGUGCAUUUCCAACCAAGGUCUGAAUGAUAAUUUUUUUUCUAAUGAUGACAUUAUAACUUUACGUAUGUUGAGAUCCUGAUCAGACACAUUAAAAUGAUCACUAAGUAAAUCCAACAUCUGUCUGAGCAUCAGGGCAUCGGAGUCGUCCAGACCAAACUUGGUCUGUAAUUGGUCAAAAGGUAAAAACUUAUUAGACAAAAAUAAAUCAUUAAUAUGUAUGACAGAAUGGGAAAGCCAAUAUUCCACAACUAGAUCAGGUAACACAGAUCGCAACACCAACAAGGGAGCAGCC